GACGAAAGGGCGCGAUAAAUCGCGCCCUUUCAUAGAUAGUUCGGGGGCUAAACCCCCGAACUUCAGUCAAAAUCAAAG
rnacentral:ncRNA from 1 species